AUCAAGCACUAUCCACCGAGAUAUCUUGGCAGCCGUGGUGUAAUGAACACUUGUUAUAAAACAUAAGAUGAAAUAUUUCCGAAGACAGUCCGAGUAAUAGAAGGUAGCCUAAUCCAGUUAUACAGGAACGGGUUUUAAGAAUCCAGGAAUAAUCCAAUCCUGCACAUCAUGUUAUAAGAAGCAGUGUUGAAAAUAAGUUGAAAGCAUAGAACUUAUGACGUACCUUAACAGGAAACCAAAUAAGUGGUUGUAUAUUCCAUAUGAUGACUGGGAUCCGGCUUGGUAACGAGGCUGGUACAUUCACUGGAACCCAUAGCAACCAGUAUAUUAGCUGGUAACACUGCCGAUGAUCACAGCCUGUGGGAGUUCUGAUUGAUAGAAGCCAGUACUGAACAGACCGAGUGCUAUGAAAUUGCUCAUUCAAUAUUGUGUUCCUGCUACUGCAGUGACCCUUUAAGCAGAGUCGAUAUAGAGUCUGCAGAAUUCACAGAGUUCCAAUGAAUGGCUAGAGAGCAAGCAGGAACAGGCAACGGAAUCCAUAAACCAAAGCGAGAAUCAGACCUGGUUCUCCAUGCCCUUUGCUGCAGUUAUGGAUUGUGUCAACCAGGACUAAUAAGUAGUCUGGCAGUGCUGUAACACAUACAUGAAAAAGUUUGCAAAAGGCAUGGAGCUGUGAGCUCUAAGGCUGUGUAAAGCCUGCAAGUUACCUGUACUACCUGAGCAACAUGGUCUAAUUAACUGAGAAUGUUUCUCCUGGAGAUCAGAGACUUAUUGCAAAGCAG